rnacentral:rRNA from 1 species
GACGAACGCUGGCGGCGUGCUUAACACAUGCAAGUCGAACGGUGAAGCUCCAGCUUGCUGGAGUGGAUCAGUGGCGAACGGGUGAGUAACACGUGAGCAACCUGCCCCUGACUCUGGAAUAAGCGCUGGAAACGGCGUCUAAUACUGGAUACGAGAAGGGUCCGCAUGGGCACUUUCUGGAAAGUUUUUCGGUUGGGGAUGGGCUCGCGGCCUAUCAGCUUGUUGGUGAGGUAAUGGCUCACCAAGGCGACGACGGGUAGCCGGCCUGAGAGGGCGACCGGCCACACUGGGACUGAGACACGGCCCAGACUCCUACGGGAGGCAGCAGUGGGGAAUAUUGCACAAUGGGCGAAAGCCUGAUGCAGAGACGCCGCGUGAGGGAUGACGGCCUUCGGGUUGUAAACCUCUUUCAGCAGGGAAGAAGCGAAAGUGACGGUACCUGCAGAAGAAGCACCGGCUAACUACGUG